rnacentral:rRNA from 1 species
UACGGAGGGUGCGAGCGUUACCCGGAUUUACUGGGUGUAAAGGGCGUGGAGGCGGUCUCUCAAGUCCGAUGCUAAAGACCAAGGCUCAACCUCGGGAGUGCGUUGGAUACUGUGAGGCUAGAGGGUCGGAGAGGGUAGCGGAAUUUCCGGAGUAGCGGUGAAAUGCGCAGAUACCGGAAGGAACGCCAAUAGCGAAGGCAGCUUACUGGACGAUUUGUGACGCUGAGGCGCGAAAGCGUGGGGAGCAAACCGG